rnacentral:rRNA from 1 species
UGCCCAACAGCUAGCCCACCUAAACAAACGCAAUAAACCCCUGUUAAUAACCCCUAAAUACCCUAGUAUUUAAACUAAACAAACCAUUUUCCCCCCUUAGUAUAGGCGAUAGAAAAGGACAAACGGCGCAAUAGAGAAAGUACCGCAAGGGAACGCUGAAAGAGAAAUGAAACAACCCAGUGAAGCCUAAAAAAGCAGAGAUUAAAGCUCGUACCUUUUGCAUCAUGAUUUAGCAAGUGUACCUCAAGCAAAGCGAACUUUAGUUUGACGUCCCGAAACUACGUGAGCUACUCCAAGACAGCCUAAUUAAUAGGGCGUACCCGUCUCUGUAGCAAAAGAGUGGGGAGAGCUUUGAGUAGAGGUGACAAACCUACCGAACCUAGUUAUAGCUGGUUGUCCAAGAAAGGAAUAGAAGUUCUGCCUCUUAGCUUCUCUUUUCACACUAGUCUAACCCCUAUUGAUGCCUUAAAGAAACCAAGAGAGUUAGUCAAAGGAGGUACAGCCCCUUUGAAACAAGACACAACUUUAUUAGGAGGGUUAAGAUCAUA